GAAUCAGGAACAGUAAAGUUGGUUGUUUAAUUGAUUUUUGAUUAAUAUGAUCCCAAUUUGAGAUUUUUCGCCAUCUUUCGGCCGCAAUUUGUAUGAACUGUCGCCACCCCAAUGGACAGUCGCCGCCGUUACCGCCACCGCACCAUUCUCGGCGCGUCGUCAAUCUCCUCCACCCCAUUGCCGUCAAUUCCAAGCUUCCAAUGAACAAUUGCCACGUGUCACUGCCAAUUCACCGCCAAACGUGAAUAUCACUGACGAACGAUUUCGGAGUGGAACGAAUCCGGAAAAUGGAUUACUUUCUAGUUGCUACGUUGAGGAACGUAAUUUCAAGCUGCGAUCGGCUUUUUUUUCCUGAACAAGCAAAGUAAAGUUGUGAGUUCGAGUUAGCAAAGAACGUGUGAUGGGGUUUGAUGAAAGUCAGCAGUCUGAUCCAUUGGUUGUGAUACGCAAUGGAAAGGAGAUCAUAUUGCAGGCAUUCAACUGGGAAUCUCAUAAACAUGAUUGGUGGAGAAAUUUAGAUAUGAAAGUUCCUGAUAUUGCAAAGUCUGGUAUCACAACUGCUUGGCUGCCUCCGGUGUGUCACUCAUUGGCUCCUGAAGGUUGAAAGUUAAAGUGUUUUAGUCUUUUGAGUUGUUG
rnacentral:misc_RNA from 1 species